rnacentral:rRNA from 1 species
CGUGUAGGCGGUUAGGCAAGUCAGAUGUGAAAGCCCUGGGCUCAACUCAGGAAGUGCAUUUGAAACUGUUUAACUAGAGUAAGGGAGAGGAAAGUGGAAUUCCUGGUGUAGAGGUGAAAUUCGUAGAUAUCAGGAGGAACACCGGUGGCGAAGGCGGCUUUCUGGCUCUAUACUGACGCUGAGACGCGAAAGCGUGGGGAGCAAACAGGAUUAGAUACCCUGGUAGUCC